AUAAAAUGGGAAAUAUUAAAACAACUGCCUUCAACAUCCUAAAUAAUAGUUUGUUUUCUUUCUAAAAUAAAUGAAUUUGGACUACAAGCCAGUUUCAAGAGCAUAAAAAACAUUAAUGCUCCAUUAGGGUAAUUCAUCAGUACAUGCUUAACAGACUGAGUAUAAUGAAAACAAAACAAAACAAAACAAACAAAAAAAACAAAGCGCACACACACACACAUCAGAAAUAUUUUAAAAACCUCACAGUAUUAAAAAGUACAUUUUAAAAGGGGAUUCGCUUGUUUUAUAGACUAAAAUUAAUAAAUUAUAGCAAUUGAGUCUCAUCUACUUUAUGCUACUACUGAGAAUUAAAGGAGCAGGAAAAGUAAUCUAGAGUAAGUGAACGGGGCAAGCAAAAAAAGUGAAGGCAGGCAUGUGCUUCUGACCUCAGAUGAACUGCAAAUGCAUAAACUGUGCAGUCUUAUGAAAUGCUGAACACUUCCAGGAUCCAACAAAACCCUGCCUUUUGCUUUAUGCUUUUGACUAGCUGCUAUCAACGAAGGACAAACUAUAUUAACUGCUCACUCUAGAAUACAGCUCCCCACUCUGCAGUAUAUCGCUUAUUAGUUGCUUGAGCAGCUGCUUCUCUCCUUGAUCCACUGUUGCAGCUGUGGGACAGGACAAGUGAAAGAGAAACUGUCUUUUUGCCCUGGUAUGGUUGUUCCUCGUCAUUUCUGCCUUUCGAGGAGUGAGCUCCAGGGUCAUGGGUUGCCCUUCGGGAAGCUUUUGUUUCCUGCGUCACAAUAUUUACUUGAAGUUGACAAGUCCAUCUUUUCAGCAGAAGAAGUGAACUGUGUGUGGUUACAUAACUGUCCAGCAACUACCAGAACAACUCAGUUUUCAAAGCACCUAAAGGGAAACAGAAACAUAAACCAUCAACUAUUUCUAAAGAACUCAGAGUCUCGAGAGACCUUUUCAGUAGUUCAGCAGCCUCUCUAGGGGAAGGGUUUCAGAUGAGCUCUCAGAUCCAAGCUUUUGAGGUUUGACAGCAGUCUGCAGAAGAAGUUUUGGUCUGGGCAUGCUUUUAGGAUGAUAAAUUACUUAAUUAAAUGCAUCACACCUAUCUCUCUUCAUUUCAACAACCACAGAUAUCCACACAGCAUGAGGAAUCCCAGCUGGGUGCAAUCUCAAUUGAUUAGCAUAAUUUGCAGUGCUAUGUGAGUAAACAAACAUCAUAAUUGUUUGGAAUUAAUGAAAGUAAGAGGAAAUUGAGUUAACGAAUAGGGAUAUGGGCUUUAGUUGAUGCUGAGUUCAAGUGUUAAAGAAUGAUAAGUAGCAAUAAAGAAUUGAAGGGAAAAUUUUCA
rnacentral:lncRNA from 1 species